rnacentral:rRNA from 1 species
UGAGUAACCUGCCCUUAACUCUGGGAUAAGCCUGGGAAACUGGGUCUAAUACCGGAUAUGACUCCUCAUCGCAUGGUGGGGGGUGGAAAGCUUUUUGUGGUUUUGGAUGGACUCGCGGCCUAUCAGCUUGUUGGUGAGAUAAUGGCUCACCAAGGCGACGACGGGUAGCCGGCCUGAGAGGGUGACUGGCCACACUGGGACUGAGACACGGCCCAGACUCCGUACGGGAGCAG